ACUGAACUGAUGAGAUGUUACCAUCAGAUGAAAUCUGUGGUGGACACCACAUCAUUGUGGUACAUUGUUGAGAAGCCAUCAUGCAGUGGCUGUGUUCCGCUUCUUCCAUGCAAUAAAGGUGCUGCCGAUCAGGUUGUUGGGGUGCCUUCAAACCCCACGUUUGGAAUGGAGAUGUGCCAUUGCCUGCCCAACAACUGACAUCCAUCAUAUCAGGUGUGAAACAGCUACGAAAAAGGCAGAAGAAGGAUGAAGUUCCUAAGAACAGGAACUGCAUAAAGCUCCUGAAAUAUGAACAAUCCAUAGAAAUGAUUUCUAGGAGACACUAGAACACAGAUGGUCAACAUAGUGCAUUUCAGAUGCUGUUGGGUUACAGCUCUUGUCAGCCUCAGCUGAAUUGGCCAGUGAUCGGGGAUUGUGGGAGUUAUAGUCCAAUAGCACCUUGAGAGCACCACCUUGGCUAUUUUGUAGUACUGUCAGCAUGUGUGUGAUACCCAGAAGCCCUGGGAAUGAAGAUGGGCUACAAGUGGAAGAAGAAGAAGAGGAGGAGGAGGAGGACAAGGACGGCGAGGAGGAAGGGGCAUUUGUCUCUCAGAAGCCUUGUGCAGCAGUUCUUCUGAAACUGCCCUCAUAUCACUUUCCUCACAGAUUAUGGUUUUACAAAUUAUGCCUUCUUGUUUCCAAGAGGAAAUGCUGCAUUAUAAUACUUCUAUUGUUCUGCUUCUUCCCCUAAAUAUUGUAUUGGGCAAAGUGCAUAUCUGACACAGCUUUAGAUUCUUCCCUUUAAUUUCCACCUGUUACAGAUGCACCAUUGUGCAUUGAUAAAACUCUGGGGAGGGGGAAAGUAUGUACAUCUCGAUAAAGCCUUUUAAAAGAGUUGGCAUGAAGGCAAGUGAACUUACCAGAGGUCCUCAAAAUCCUGUCAGGAUAGUGGCUAACACUUCUAAUUCUCUUGGUGAACACAGAAAAUAAAGAUGUAUGGGAGGAGUCUUGCAAUUAACAAAAAUAAAAGCAUUUAAAAUAAUAUAAUGAG